CCCUCAGUUUUUCCCUUGCCUCCCUUGCCGUUGAUCUCCUCUCUACCAUCAGCAGUAGCACCGUUGCCCGUGUCUUUGUGAUGCUGCAAUGAGCCCUUUGAGAGGACCGUCCGUUCCGGCAUUCGACUCUCUCGCAACGAAUCCUCUUCCCUUGAAUGAUCUUUCUUGUCAUCUCCAGGAACACCAAUUGAACCUCCUCCGUUUCGAGAAUUAUGUUCUCAUAUUUAAUCCUUCGAAGCCUAUAAUAAGCAUAAUCAACAAUUCACCCUGAUCAAUGGAAGAUCUGUGGUACCUAACGCCUUAACUCUGUGGAACUGUUUUAUAGGAAUAGCAGGGGAGAUAAAGGGGAGACCGAACCUUGAAAUCGUCGGAUCCAUGGAUGAUUCGUUGAAGCCUCACC
rnacentral:lncRNA from 1 species